rnacentral:rRNA from 1 species
AUUGAACGCUGGCGGCAUGCUUUACACAUGCAAGUCGAACGGUAACAGGCCUUCGGGUGCUGACGAGUGGCGAACGGGUGGGUAAUGCAUCGGAACGUGCCCAGAGGUGGGGGAUAACGCAGCGAAAGCUGUGCUAAUACCGCAUGUGAUCUGAGGAUGAAAGCGGGGGACCAGGCAGCAAUGUUUGGCCUCGCGCCUUUGGAGCGGCCGAUGUCAGAUUAGGUAGUUGGUGGGGUAAAGGCCUACCAAGCCGACGAUCUGUAGCUGGUCUGAGAGGACGACCAGCCACACUGGGACUGAGACACGGCCCAGACUCCUACGGGAGGCAGCAGUGGGGAAUUUUGGACAAUGGGCGCAAGCCUGAUCCAGCAAUGCCGCGUGCGGGAAGAAGGCCUUCGGGUUGUAAACCGCUUUUGUACGGAACGAAAAGGCUCUGGCUAAUACCUGGGGCUGAUGACGGUACCGUAAGAAUAAGCACCGGCUAACUACGUG